rnacentral:rRNA from 1 species
CAGCCGCCGCGGGAAUACGUAGGUGGCAAGCGCUGUCCGGAAUUAUUGGGCGUAAAGCGCGCGCAGGCGGAUCAGUCAGUCUGUCUUAAAAGUUCGGGGCUUAACCCCGUGAUGGGAUGGAAACUGCUGAUCUAGAGUAUCGGAGAGGAAAGUGGAAUUCCUAGUGUAGCGGUGAAAUGCGUAGAUAUUAGAAAGAACAUCAGUGGCGAAGGCGACUUUCUGGACGAAAACUGACGCUGAGGCGCGAAAGCCAGGGGAGCGAACGGGAUUAGAUACCCGUGUAGUCCCUGUCUCUUAUACC